AAGCUGUCUAAUGUGCUGUAGCGAUUCAGGCCAGAAGUGAUUUGGACUAGUAUGUGUGGCAGGUUUAGAAUUAAAGAUGUAGCAAACCACAGCAUAAAUAACAGCUAUUUCGGGUUUCUUUUCCCAUCUUGCCAAGGUACUACUAAUGACUAAGGAGAGGUAUAGUUGAAUGUAUCAUAACUCUGUUGGUAUUGUUGAAGAAAAUUGGACACUGAAUAGCCACAAGAUUGAGAUGAGCAAGGUAGUUUUCUUCUCUUGUACCCAUUGGCUCUAUGACUGGAUGUCCAGCCAAGACCACAAUAGAAGUACAUGUGUGCUUUCUUGGUCUCUUGUUCCCAAAGUUAAAAAACGAAGGCAAAAGCCAUAUUCAAAGCAUGGUAGAGCCU